rnacentral:miRNA from 1 species
CCUGUGGAUAGGAGCUACCCACUCUGGGUCUCCUCUCCACUGAGAGCUGGACAUUCGUUGGGAUGACCUGCCUGCAGAUAGG